CGUCUUCCUGGUCGAAGUAGGGUUGGGCACCGCCGCCGUCCUCCUGGUCGAAGUAGGGUUGGGUGCCGUCGCCGUCCUCCUGGUCGACGGCGCCCUCGUCUUCGCCGGUCGCACCCAUCCCCACCUUUCUAUUUCUGCAAGGGAGGUUGACUUCUUCCCUUUCUCUCGUGCAGAUCGCCGUCCUUUGGUUCGGUGGUGCCCCAGCUGCGCGUGUAGGAUACGGGAGAUGAGCAUGUGUGGCAGCGCCAUGAUCAGCAAGGUGGUAUUCUCAUACUCAUGUCUAUAUGAUUCUGUAGUUCAUGACAUCAGCACCAACUUGCUUUCAUGCAGCGUCGAGCAUGACAUGUUGCUUACAUUGAUCCAGUGCGAAUGACUUAUUCUUCAGUAGCACAUGUUUCCGUUGAGAGCAUUUGUAUAGCCUACUUCAGUCUUGCAUCCAAGUAGCAAGGUGAAAAAAUUGUUAUCCAGGUUCAUGGGGCUAGGUUGAUGAGCUCACAGAAAGAUGUUGUGAUUAAAGUCCUAAAGCCAAGAACUGCAGAUACUUUGGUCAACGGUAUGAAUUUUAUAUAUCUUGCUUCACAUGUUUUUGGCUUGGUUACCUCUUUGAUCGCACCAAGGUAAAUUACUCUCGCUUCUCGUCGCCCUUGCAUGAAAAUUGCAUCCUCAUACCCUCUCUAACCUCAUGGUCUUCCUCUCUAGCCCCCCAAGCUCUAGCAAUGGCUGCCUCGAGUUCCAAACUGGGAUCUAACGAGGGAACGGUGGCCAAGGCAUCUGCAACCAUAGGAAAGGAGGAGGGCUUGAAGGCAUAAGAAAGAGCAAUCUUUAAUAAGAAAUAUUUUAUCCUCGACUUGAUGAGCUUUUGUUUUCCGUGCCAUUCUUUGUCCCUUGCGCUGGUCAUGGAGGGGAGGGAAAAAGGAGGAGGGAGAGCAGAGAGGAGUGUGGCGGUCACAUAGGAAGAAGCGGUUGUGGUGCUAGGCUGCUAGCUGGUGAGAUGUGGUCUCUAUGCUAGGCAGUAUAGAGUACAACAACAUUGUUCUGAUGACCCCUCCUACGAACACUGAGAUCACCAAUCUCCUCGCCUCAUGUGCUAUCUCUUUGCUAUCUGAUGAGUGCCGAUGCUCACAUAGUUGUCGGAACCACAUUGAGCCACUCAUAUGUGGCAACCGUAGUGUUAAUUGUCAAUGUCGAUCAUGAAAACCCUGUUUUUAUGCGUCUAUUUGGACCGGCAUACAGUGAAGUACAUGGAGGUGGAAGACGAGGCACGAAGGGCUACCAUAGCAGCGGGUACCACCCCAUCUGCCCCGGUGACUCAUUCAAGCAGGUCAUCUAUGUCGAUCGUGGAGCCCGUGGUCGAACCGGGGCCUCCCUCUCCACUAUCCGACUGACUGACUCACCUGGGAGAUAAGCCAAUUUAGAUAUGUGCUUGUGAAGGUGAGAAAGUUCCAAGACAAAGCAAAAAAGGUUGGGCCUCAUCAGGCAACACACGAUAUGGAACCAGCCAUGUUGGAUCCACUCGACGCCGAACCAAUCAUGGCCAUGUCCCCGAGCUGUGGCUUAGCACCGCCGGUCACUGACAAAACUGCUAAUGGGGUUUGGGAGUUGGAGGUUCUACCCAAGCUGCUCGUGGAGGAGCAACACAGGGACGUCAUCCUCAAUGAGAGCAUGUGUGCAUGAUGUUUGAGUUUCUUUGUGAUAACUUGCUCGCCAUGGUGAAAUACAUGACUAUCAUGUGAUUAUGCUUCCAAUGGUCAAGGAGAUAUGUCUCCAUGUGCUCAUUGGCCUUCACUAUCUCCACAACUAGCUUUCCAGUACCCACAUUGACCUAACACCUGAGAAUAUAACUCAAAAAAAUAUUUGAUUGCUUAAA